AAGCCAAGGCUUAUAGUAAGGUUUUCAAUUUACAAAUGGUUUUUCUGUUCAGAUUUUCUUUUUGUGAGUUUUGUGUGUGAAUUUGUAGCAUGAUCUUCCACUGCAUCAUCCAAAUUUUGCAUUUGUAAAUUGUCAAAGAAAAACAAAGUAUGAGGAAUUUAUAGGAGAUUGUGUCGGCUUUGGCCAUGAAGGGUAUCAGCAGGUUGUUCCCCCAUACAGAACCAGCAAUGCAAGAGCAGGAUCUGAUCAGUCACAUUCGAAAAGAGGUUUGUUCCUCAAAUCACAUUCAUUAGUUUGAUUAUUUGUGUAUGGGCUCAUGUAUCUUAAACAUGUAGUGAGAAGUGAGGAUUUUGUUUUAGUGUUUUAGAUAAUCUGAUGGAAUAUGUAGAUACUAUGAUUUGGGGUUGCUUUCUUAAACCAUGAUAAAGCAGUCCAAGUAAAUUUAACAUAGAUAUCAUUUUUUAUGUAAUGCAUGAGUUUAUGAAAUGUUAAGACGAUAAUAUAUCAUGUGAUUUAAAAUUCAAAGAGAGACAAUGAAUCGUGUUUGAUA